CUGCCGUGAUGAGCUGUGAGGACUGAUCUGGUAUUGCUGCCCUCCGGGGAGAGCUCUGACCAGAGAAUGAUCUCCCUUCAAUCUUCUCUCUGAGCUG
ensembl:snoRNA